AUAACAAUGAUUCCCCUAGUAACUGCGAGUGAAGAGGGACAAGCUCAAAUUUUAAAUCUGUGUUUACACAGAAUUGUAAUUUGAAGAAACGUUUUCUGUGUCUUGAUUUAACUUAAAUCUUUUGGAAUGAGGUAUCAUGGAGGGUGACAAUCCCGUUCAUGGUUUUAUUCAAGAUAUCUUAUGAAACGUUUUCGAAGAGUCGAGUUGUUUGGGAUUGCAGCUCAAAAUGGGAGGUAAAUUUCUCCUAAGGCUAAACAUUGGCGAGAGACCGAUAGCGAACAAGUACCGUGAGGGAAAGAUGAAAAGAACUUUGAAAAGAGAGUUAAACAGUACGUGAAAUUGUUGAAAGGGAAACGAUUGAAGUCAGUCAUACCAACGGGAAAUCAACCUUUUGAGUAUGAAUUUUGGAGCUUUAAAGAGUUUCAAAACCCUUGGGUUUCAUUAUUUGUGCUUUUUUGGCGUACUUUUUCGUACGGUAGGUUAACAUCGAUUUUGAACGUUAUAAAAUGACUGGAGGAAUGUAGCUUCGAUCUCGUAUUGAAGUGUUAUAGCCUUUAGUAAAUGUAAUGGUCAAGAUCGAGGAUUGCAACGAAUACCCUUUUGGGCUAUCCGUCUGAUCUCUGAUACGUGACCUUGGUAUUGAAAGCGUGCUUAUGAUAUUGAGGUAUUACGGUCAAAAGGUUAGAACGUGAUUACAUUCGUUAAGGAUGU
rnacentral:rRNA from 1 species